rnacentral:rRNA from 1 species
AGAUUGAACGCUGGCGGCAUGCCUUACACAUGCAAGUCGAACGGUAACGCGGGGCAACCUGGCGACGAGUGGCGAACGGGUGAGUAAUACAUCGGAACGUGCCCAGUAGUGGGGGAUAGCCCGGCGAAAGCCGGAUUAAUACCGCAUACGACCUACGGGUGAAAGCAGGGGAUCGCAAGACCUUGCGCUAUUGGAGCGGCCGAUGUCAGAUUAGGUAGUUGGUGGGGUAAAAAGCCUACCAAGCCUACGAUCUGUAGCUGGUCUGAGAGGACGACCAGCCACACUGGGACUGAGACACGGCCCAGACUCCUACGGGAGGCAGCAGUGGGGAAUUUGGACAAUGGGCGCAAGCCUGAUCCAGCCAUGCCGCGUGCGGGAAGAAGGCCUCGGGUUGUAAACCGCUUUGUCAGGAAGAAACGCUCCGGCUAAUACCCGGGUAAUGACGGUACCUGAAGAAUAAGCACCGCUAACUACGUGCCAGCAGCCGC